rnacentral:rRNA from 1 species
GACGAACGCUGGCGGCGUGCCUAAUACAUGCAAGUCGAGCGGACGAAUCGAAAGCUUGCUUUUUAUUCGUUAGCGGCGGACGGGUGAGUAACACGUGGGCAACCUGCCCUGUAGACGGGGAUAACACCGAGAAAUCGGUGCUAAUACCGGAUAACACGAAAUGUCGCAUGACGUUUCGUUGAAAGACGGCGCAAGCUGUCGCUACAGGAUGGGCCCGCGGCGCAUUAGCUAGUUGGUGAGGUAACGGCUCACCAAGGCGACGAUGCGUAGCCGACCUGAGAGGGUGAUCGGCCACACGGGGACUGAGACACGGCCCAGACUCCUACGGGAGGCAGCAGUAGGGAAUCUUCCGCAAUGGACGAAAGUCUGACGGAGCAACGCCGCGUGAGCGAAGAAGGCCUUCGGGUCGUAAAGCUCUGUUGUUAGGGAAGAACAAGUAACGCAGUAACUGGCGUUACCGUGACGGUACCUAACGAGAAAGCCACGGCUAACUACGUG